AUGGGUAUGGGGAGAGGGGCAGGACGUUCAGCCCUGGGAUUCUGGCCGACCCUCGCCUUCCUUCUCUGCAGCUUCCCCGCAGUAUGAUCGUUUGAAGGAGGACAAUCAUUUUUAAAGCUCUCCUCGUUUAUUGAGCGGCCACAGUAUCCUGGGCACUCCGCCAAAUGCUUUGAGUACAACACCUCGCGAGAUCACCACACCUUCCUCACGGAAGAGAAAGUACCGAAGAGGAAACAGAGGGUCACAGAGGUUGCCUGACAUUACACAGCUAGCCGGUGACCAAGCCGGGAGUGGAACACAGACCCCCGACCCUUUUCCGUAUCCCAUAUUGUGAAUAAACAUACUCCUUAGAUUUGCUUCGGAACAUAUUCGAGUUUGUGCUGUGCAGCAUAUAAGGCUUCAAGGUGGCGGAGGGAAAUAAGACCCCAAAUUUGGAGGUAUUAGAUAGCAGAGUGAAAAGCUGACCACGGAUUCUGUGGACCUAGCAGUUUUUGGGGGUGUUUUUUGUUUUUUGUUUUUUGUUUUUUUUGCCUCCUCCCAAAGGCCCUCUCUGCUGCCUGUCUGUCCUGGCUUAACAUCUCAAAGAAGAUGCCACCCAGCCAUAGGUCAGGCAAAGAAGUUGGCAAGGGCUGUCAUUGUGCAAAUUUUCCCAAGUCAGAUUUAUGUCUUUUGGGUUUUGCUUAUUUAUUCAUUUCAUGCACCAUUUCACCCGAGCAGUCGAAAUACCGAGACGCCUAUUAAAGUGAUCCGUCUGCACCCAGGUCCCCGCAGAAAGGAGCCCAUUAUUGGUCCGCAUGCUAAGGAAUGUCCCAUGAACACAGGCUCACACACGUGUGCGCCAGCCGGGCGUGUGCCCAGCUGGCAUGCAUUUGCCCUCCCACUGCAUGAGGAAGGUGGAGGAGGGAGGCCCGCCUGCGGAUGGCGGUGAGGGAGAAAAAGCCACUUCAAAUGAAUCUGGAUGUGGAGCGGCCAAGCAGAUGAGCCGAGGGUUGCUGGAGGCAGAGCCAGGAUGGAAAAUUAUCAUUUCUAGAGCCAGCCCUGGACUCGGGAAAAGGGGUUAUGCCUCCAAGCGGGAAGAACACACUGCUCACCUGAAAGCUUCAUUGAUAUCUGGAAAGUGAUGUCUUUGCCCGUAACCACUCUGCUGGUGGAACCUGGAGUAGCUUCGUUCUGUGCCCUAAGACAAGAUGGUACUGGCCUGGAAUCUCGCGCCCGGCUCAGCCCUUGGUCAUCAUGGGUCCCUCUUUUAAGUUUUUGUUGUCAUUGUUGUUUAUUUUGCGAGAGAAAGAAGGAGACAGACGAUCCCAAGCAGGCUCCACGGUGCCAGUGCCAAGCCCCAGGUGGGGCUCGAACCCACGAACCAUGAGAUACCCACAAACCUGAGCCGUAAUCAAGAGUCAGACACUUAACCAACUGAGCCACCCAGGCGCCCCCAUCAGGGCCCCCUUUUACCCAGAAGCCCUCAGCCACCUGAUUUGACAGGCCUGCUUGUGGCCUUGGUGAACACAGGUGCUUCUGAAUGUCCUGUCUGCCAUUGAUCUGGUUCCAUGUGGCCCCAGUGGGAGUCGGGGGAGGGUGCCCAGUUUGGAAAGCUGCAGUGUGCCCUUUUCCUUGGUACUCGGUGUGGUUUCUUGUAGCAACUUGGCGUGUGUGAUGGCUGGGGCAGAGCAGCCCUGGCAGAGUGUGACAAGUGUGACAAGGGGCAGUGCCUCCUGCCUCAGCUCAGUAGGUGGCAUUCGGCCACCUCUUCCCACACUGGACAGUGAGUUAACCCCCAGCUCCCUGGCCUCCCCACCUCCCCUUCCUAGAGCAGUCGAGACUCUCUGAGAACCUCCCUCUUGCCUGCUUCUUUAUCCUGUAGGCCAGUUCCCGGACAACGGGGUUUCCGGAAAAGUCCCAGCACCUUUGAGGGACUCACAGGCUAGGCCGGUUCCCCCCAGACCACCUUGGGCUGCAUAGGGAGGAAUGCUUUUUAGGAAGGAUGAUCACUUCCGACUUCGUGCAGGUUAAGUAAGGUGAAUUCUGCUGUAGCUGACAAAAUCUUCAGUCUGUCACCUGGCUGUGUUCCUGUAGGAAUCUGAUGUCAAACACCUGGCACCAGGAGCGGUUCCUGUGGGAGUGACAUGAACAGGCAGCUUUAGACGUCUCUCUCUUUAAAAAAACAAAGUAAAACAUUUAUUUAUAUUUGGGAGAGCGCCUGUGGGGGAGGGGCAGAGAGAGGGAGACAGAGGAACCAAAGCUGAUGUAGGACUCAGACUCACAAACUGCAAGAUCAUGCCCUGAGCGGAAGUCGGACUCUCGAUUGACCCACCGAGCCACCCAGCUGCCCAGCUUUAGGCAUCUCUUAACUCAGGAAGACUCCAGAAUACCGCCCAGGCCAGAGUUUGCCACAUGUUGGCACUAGAUCUGAUCGCAUCCCCCUCCUUGAUUCCCCCAAGAGGGUGGGGAGUGGCCAACUGUCCCCAUGCUGAGUGCAGGCAGGCUGGCGCUCCUGGUUUGGUGCUGCCCUCCCCUCCUCCUUCAGGACCCCCUGUCACAGCUUGAUGACAAGAGAGGGGAGCCCCAGGGCCUCUGCUGUCCAGGAUGGAUGUGAGACAGGCCGUGGGGACAGGAACAGGAGGUGUCGGGCUUCAGUGCUGACCUUGGCACAGAGGUUGAUCAGUGACUGCUCAUUCUGCUUCUGCUUCUGCUCAUUCUGUGCUCUGCCUGCUUCUACCCGGACUAAAGCCACCACCUCCUAAAAUAGGAUUGUGAUCAUGCCAUGCACUUCCUGGAAAUUAUCGCGGGGCUCCCUACCAUCAACUGCAU